AUUGAACGCUGGCGGAAUGCUUUACACAUGCAAGUCGAGCGGCAGCACGGGGGCAACCCUGGUGGCGAGCGGCGAACGGGUGAGUAACACAUCGGAACAUGCCCAGUCGUGGGGGAUAACACUUCGAAAGAAGUGCUAAUACCGCAUACGUCCUGAGGGAGAAAGCGGGGGAUCUUCGGACCUCGCGCGAUUGGAGUGGCCGAUGUCAGAUUAGCUAGUUGGUGGGGUAAAGGCCGACCAAGGCAACGAUCUGUAGCUGGUCUGAGAGGAUGAUCAGCCACACUGGGACUGAGACACGGCCCAGACUCCUACGGGAGGCAGCAGUGGGGAAUUUUGGACAAUGGGGGCAACCCUGAUCCAGCCAUUCCGCGUGAGUGAAGAAGGCCUUCGGGUUGUAAAGCUCUUUCGGCAGGAACGAAACGGCGAGCUCUAACAUAGCUUGCUAAUGACGGUACCUGAAGAAGAAGCACCGGCUAACUACGUGCCAGCCGCCGCGGUAAGAC
rnacentral:rRNA from 1 species